CUACGGGGCGCUGCAGUGGGGAAUAUUGCACAAUGGGCGCAAGCCUGAUGCAGCCAUGCCGCGUGUAUGAAGAAGGCCUUCGGGUUGGAAAGUAAUUUCAGCGGGGAGGAAGGGAGUAAAGUUAAUACCUUUGUUCAUUGACGUUACCCGCAGAAGAAGCACCGGCUAACUCCGUGCCAGCAGCCGCGGUAAUACGGAGGGUGCAAGCGUUCAUCGGAAUUACUGGGCGUAAAGCGCACGCAGGCGGGUUGUUAAGUCAGAUGUGAAAUCCCCGGGCUCAACCUGGGAACUGCAUCUGAUACGGGCAAGCUUGAGUCUCGUAGAGGGGGGUAGAAUUCCAGGUGUAGCGGUGAAAUGCGUAGAGAUCUGGAGGAAUACCGGUGGCGAAGGCGGCCCCCUGGACGAAGACUGACGCUCAGGUGCGAAAGCGUGGGGAGCAAACAGGAUUAGAUACCCGAGUAGUC
rnacentral:rRNA from 1 species